rnacentral:rRNA from 1 species
AGUGAACGCUGGCGGUAGGCCUAACACAUGCAAGUCGAACGGCAGCACAGUAAGAGCUUGCUCUUACGGGUGGCGAGUGGCGGACGGGUGAGGAAUACAUCGGAAUCUACUUUUUCGUGGGGGAUAACGUAGGGAAACUUACGCUAAUACCGCAUACGACCUACGGGUGAAAGCAGGGGAUCUUCGGACCUUGCGCGAUUGAAUGAGCCGAUGUCGGAUUAGCUAGUUGGCGGGGUAAAGGCCCACCAAGGCGACGAUCCGUAGCUGGUCUGAGAGGAUGAUCAGCCACACUGGAACUGAGACACGGUCCAGACUCCUACGGGAGGCAGCAGUGGGGAAUAUUGGACAAUGGGCGCAAGCCUGAUCCAGCCAUACCGCGUGGGUGAAGAAGGCCUUCGGGUUGUAAAGCCCUUUUGUUGGGAAAGAAAAGCAGCAGGUUAAUACCCCGCUGUUCUGACGGUACCCAAAGAAUACGCACCGACUAACUUCGUG